rnacentral:rRNA from 1 species
UACGUAGGGGGCAAGCGUUGUCCGGAUUUAUUGGGCGUAAAGAGCGUGUAGGCGGCUUGGAAGGUCAGCUGUGAAAACUCGAGGCUCAACCUCGAGACGUCGGUUGAAACCACCUGGCUAGAGUCCGGAAGAGGAGAGUGGAAUUCCCGGUGUAGCGGUGAAAUGCGCAGAUAUCGGGAAGAACACCCGUGGCGAAGGCGGCUCUCUGGGACGGUACUGACGCCGAGACGCGAAAGCGUGGGGAGCGAACAGG